rnacentral:rRNA from 1 species
CACGUAGGGGGCGAGCGUUUGUCCGGAAUUAUUGGGCGUAAAGAGCUCGUAGGCGGUUUGUCGCGUCUGCUGUGAAAACCCGAGGCUCAACCUCGGGCCUGCAGUGGGUACGGGCAGACUAGAGUGCGGUAGGGGGAGAUUGGAAUUCCUGGUGUAGCGGUGGAAUGCGCAGAUAUCAGGAGGAACACCAAUGGCGAAGGCAGAUCUCUGGGCCGUAACUGACGCUGAGGAGCGAAAGCAUGGGGAGCGAACAGG